GGAACGGAGCUAAUACCGGAUAAUAUAUUGAACCGCAUGGUUCAAUAGUGAAAGACGGUUUUGCUGUCACUUAUAGAUUGAUCCGCGCCGCAUUAGCUAGUUGGUAAGGUAACGGCUUACCAAGGCAACGAUGCGUAGCCGACCUGAGAGGGUGAUCGGCCACACUGGAACUGAGACACGGUCCAG
rnacentral:rRNA from 1 species